ACUUCACAGUCGGAGUUUAGCCUAUCUGCAAAUGGCAAUGUUGCCCGUUCUUUUCAAGAUGGCGGCUGGAAUUCGACACGAGAAUCGAUAGCAUUCAGGAGUGAUGGCUUUUCCCGGCUGAUUCCUGACUGGAGAUUUUUGUGGUGUUGUGGAAGUGUGGACUACAGAAGCAGAUUGCUGAUUCAAAUGUGUUCUUGCAUUUCUUCUGUCGUGGUUUCACAGCCAGGUGAAGUCUGAGGUUCUGCACUAUUGUGCUUAUGUUUUUGUUGCAGCCAGCUGAUGAAUGGUGUGAUGAGCUGAUGCAUGCAGUCCAUCAUGCUGGUGUGGUGAGCUGCUUCUAUCCAGUCUGUGGUGAUGGUGUUAUCCUGAAAUGAAAUGGCUCUAGAUUCCUGACAAGAUUUUGGAUUGUGGUGUUUGUGGUAGAAAUGAGGACUACAGAUGGACAUGCUUCGAUCAGCAUAUUCAGUCAGGAUUUGCCUAAUAAGAUGUGUUCUUGUAUGUGUUUGAUUGUAGAAAAAUUUCAUUUUCUAGAGAAUUGUCAUGGUGUUGUU